AACGAACGCUGGCGGCAUGCCUAACACAUGCAAGUCGAACGAAUGCUUCGGCCUUAGUGGCGCACGUGUGCGUAACGCGUGGGAAUCUGCCCUUUGGUUCGGAAUAACAGCUGGAAACGGCUGCUAAUACCGGAUGAUGUCGAAAGUCCAAAGAUUUAUCGCCAGAGGAUGAGCCCGCGUUGGAUUAGGUAGUUGGUGGGGUAAAGGCCUACCAAGCCGAGGAUCCAUAGCUGGUCUGAGAGGAUGAUCAGCCACACUGGGACUGAGACACGGCCCAGACAACUACGGGAGGCAGCAGAGGGGAAUAGAGGAAAAGGGGCGCAAGCAUGAACAAGCAAUGCCGCGAGAGUGAUGAAGGCAGUAGGGUUGAAAAGCACUGUAACCCGGGAAGAUAAUGACGGUAACGGGAGAAUAAGCACCGGCUAACUCCGUG
rnacentral:rRNA from 1 species